rnacentral:lncRNA from 1 species
GGUGAAUUCAAUGGGAGGAUUUACGAUUUGCCGGUUGGACCAGCUAGUCUCUAGUCCUUUACAUGACUUGGUGAAGUCAGUGGGAGGAUUUAUGACUUGCAGGUCGACUGAUUACUUCUAAAAUAUAUUAAUCAAAUUCUCUAAAUUAUUAGGUCCAUAAAAUGAACUAGUAAUGGGGAUAACUAAAUCAUAGCCUCCCAUUAAGGUGCAUGAUAAUGCAUCCAAUAUUCUAAAUAGGCAUUGGAGGCGCCACACGCCUGAUGUCUAUUGGAUAUUAGAAUUAUCAUUCAUCAUAUGACCAUCUUGCUAUCUCCUUCAGAUCAAUGGUCAGAUUGGUCGAGCCACACUCGAGCCAGGCAUUCGUUUGCUGGAUGCUCUUAAUGUAGUCAUGUUAAUGGUCGGACCUAAUCGGAUUUUUCAGUGGAGGUGCCACACGCCUACUGAAGAGAUACCUGGGGCAAAAUCUGAUUGCUAAAAAUUAUUUGAAGAAAUAAUUGGUUAGGAACCUACCCAUGGAUGCACUAGGGUUGGUCGAGCCACACUCAGGCCCGAAUGCAGUCUGUGUGGAUUCUAGCACCUGCUAAGGAAUUAAAGUAAUUCUUCGAAUUGGAGGUAGAGACUAUCAAUUUGUAUAAAAUAGUGAGAGAACCUUUAGACUAAAGUCUAAAUCUUUAGGCUUAAAAUAGUUCAUAUAUUAAUAGGUCAAUUGUUCUCUUUUCAGAAAUAGCUAGAAAAUUAUCGCUCUAUUCACUGUUAGAUAGUAACAACGUUAUCAGACCUAACUUCGAUAGCCAGUAUCAGAAGUUGAAUAUAGUUUUUGAGCUGAAUUGAUCAAGAAGUCUAAGGCUAACCCAAACAGACCUAAAAGAGAAAUCAGUAAAUGGAUGUUGGUCAAGAUAGUUAUAUGAUAACUCCUUGAAAUUUCUCUAUUGAUAAU